GAUGAACGCUGGCGGCGUGCCUAAUACAUGCAAGUCGAGCGAACAGACGAGGAUUUUGUUCUUCUUACGUUAUCGGCGGACGGGUGAGUAACACGUGGAUAACUUACCUAUAAGACUGGGAUAACUUCGGGAAACCGGAGAUAAUGCCUGAUAAUCUAUUGGACCGCAUGGUUCAAUAGUGAAUGGCGGACUUUCUUUCAGUUAUUGAUGGUUCCGCGCCGCAUUAGCUAGUUGGUAAGGUAAGGGCUUACCAAGGCAACGAUGCGUAGCCGACGUGAGAGGGUGAGCGGGCACACUGGAACUGAGACACGGUCCAGACUCCGACGGGAGGCAGCAGUAGGGGAUCUUCAGCAAAGGGCGAAGGCCUGAGGGAGAAACGCCGCGUGAGUGAUGAAGGUCUUCGGAUCGUAAAACUCUGUUAUUAGGGAAGAACAAAUGUGUAAGUAACUAUGCACGUCUUGACGGUACCUAAUCAGAAAGCCACGGCUAACUACGUG
rnacentral:rRNA from 1 species